CCGCUCUUCGCGCUCCGCUGGUGAAUGGAGUCGCGUUCUCUGUUUUGCUGUUGCUGCUGCCUUUGUGACGGGAUCGCUUUCUCCCAUCGAACCUUCUAGUUGCUUAUUGCAGCUUCGUAUUUCUAGGUAGACGGUAAUUUCGUCAAUGAAAAAAUUUAACGGUGAUCGUCACCCCUUGCCUCAGUCACUUUCUGUCCCUCGCGCGGCCCCGGCGUUCACGGCGGACGUUCUUGUUCUGUGGAGAAUAACGGCUGCACCUGGAGAUUGACGCAGAGUGGGCGGCGGUGGUGGUAAGUUUGAACCAGAUAUUUUCAGUAAUACAAAAUAAGGUUUCUUCUAGUCUAACUUCCAUUUUUCCCCCCAGCUGGGAUAGAUGUUUAAAAUUUUGCAUAUGGCCUUUCUAGUAUUUGUUGAAAUAGUGACGCCGAUUCGUGUGUGGUCUUUUAAAAACAAAUCCUGCAUCUCUAGCUCUUAGCUUCCUCAUCUUUGUUUUGUUUUUUAAUCAGAUAGAUUAACUGAAGGCGUGUUUGUGUGGUUAAUCUAUUUUUUUUAUUUUCAGAGACAGAUCAUAAGUUUAAUUACUAUAUUUUUAUUUUCCCUUGACACUAGAUAUAUAUACGCCAUCUAACACAUAAUAUGAGUGUCAAAGAUAAGGUUAACAUCAAGAUUUCGUACGUAGAUCCCACCCAAAGUGUAUGCAGAAGGUGAACAAUUUCAAUUCCAGCUAUACAUUAAUUGCAGAAAGAUACUGUUAAU
rnacentral:lncRNA from 1 species